GACGAACGCUGGCGGCGUGCUUAACACAUGCAAGUCGAGCGGUAAGGCCUUUCGGGGUACACGAGCGGCGAACGGGUGAGUAACACGUGGGUGAUCUGCCCUGCACUUCGGGAUAAGCCUGGGAAACUGGGUCUAAUACCGGAUAUGACCUCCUAUCGCAUGGUGGGUGGUGGAAAGAUUUAUCGGUGCAGGAUGGGCCCGCGGCCUAUCAGCUUGUUGGUGGGGUAAUGGCCUACCAAGGCGACGACGGGUAGCCGACCUGAGAGGGUGACCGGCCACACUGGGACUGAGACACGGCCCAGACUCCUACGGUAGGCAGCGGUGGGGAAUAUUGCACAAUGGGCGAAAGCCUGAUGCAGCGACGCCGCGUGAGGGAUGACGGCCUUCGGGUUGUAAACCUCUUUCAGCAGGGACGAAGCGCAAGUGACGGUACCUGCAGAAGAAGCACCGGCUAACUACGUG
rnacentral:rRNA from 1 species